AUGAACGCUGGCGGCGUGCCUAAUACAUGCAAGUCGAGCGCACGGACGAGAAGCUUGCUUUUCUGAUGUUAGCGGCGGACGGGUGAGUAACACGUGGAUAACCUACCUAUAAGACUGGGAUAACUUCGGGAAACCGGAGCUAAUACCGGAUAAUAUUUUGAACCGCAUGGUUCAAAAGUGAAAGACGGUCUUGCUGUCACUUAUAGAUGGAUCCGCGCUGCAUUAGCUAGUUGGUAAGGUAACGGCUUACCAAGGCAACGAUGCAUAGCCGACCUGAGAGGGUGAUCGGCCACACUGGAACUGAGACACGGUCCAGACUCCUACGGGAGGCAGCAGUAGGGAAUCUUCCGCAAUGGGCGAAAGCCUGACGGAGCAACGCCGCGUGGGUGAUGAAGGUCUUCGGAUCGUAAAACUCUGUUAUUAGGGAAGAACAUAUGUGUAAGUAACUGUGCACAUCUUGACGGUACCUAAUCAGAAAGCCACGGCUAACUACGUG
rnacentral:rRNA from 1 species